CUACGUGCCAGCAGCCGCGGUAAUACGGAAGGUUCGGGCGUUAUCCGGAUUUAUUGGGUUUAAAGGGAGCGUAGGCCGGAGAUUAAGUGUGUUGUGAAAUGUAGACGCUCAACGUCUGACUUGCAGCGCAUACUGGUUUCCUUGAGUACGCACAACGUUGGCGGAAUUCGUCGUGUAGCGGUGAAAUGCUUAGAUAUGACGAAGAACUCCGAUUGCGAAGGCAGCUGACGGGAGCGCAACUGACGCUGAAGCUCGAAGGUGCGGGUAUCGAACGGGAUUAGAUACCCUGGUAGUCCGCGCAGUAAACGAUGGAUGCCCGCUGUUGGUACCUAGUAUCAGCGGCUAAGCGAAAGCAUUAAGCAUCCCACCUGGGGAGUACGCCGGCAACGGUGAAACUCAAAGGAAUUGACGGGGGCCCGCACAAGCGGAGGAACAUGUGGUUUAAUUCGAUGAUACGCGAGGAACCUUACCCGGGCU
rnacentral:rRNA from 1 species